AUUGAACGCUAGCGGCAUGCCUUACACAUGCAAGUCGAACGAGCGGCGGACGGGUGAGUAAUAUAUCGGAACGUGCCUAGUAGCGGGGGAUAACUACUGGAAACAGUAGCUACUACCGCAUACCAUCGGAGCGGCCGAUAUCGGAUUAGCUUGUUGGGGGGGUAAAGGCUCACCAAGGCCACGAUCCGUAGCUGGUUUGAGAGGACGAACAGCCACAUUGGGACUGAGACACGGCCCAGACUCCUACGUGAGGCAGCAGUGGGGAAUUUUGCACAAUGGGUGAAACCCUGAUCCAGCCAUCCCGCGUGUAUGAGAAGGCCUUCGGGUUGUAAAGUACUUUUAGCAGAGAAGCGGUAUCUGCAGAAUAAGCACCGGCUAACUACGUGCCAGCAGCCGCGGUAAUUC
rnacentral:rRNA from 1 species